rnacentral:misc_RNA from 1 species
GUGUAUGUGUGUGUUUCUCACAUCUCGCGUAUCUCCGUGACUCUUUUUUGUUUUUCAGAAGACACCGCUCCCGCCGCUUGCCUUUUCCGUCGGCACCACUGAUAGAGCACAAACCACAAACGCGACAUUGCCCUUGUGCCCUCUGCGGAGCCGUGCUGAGCAGCCGUGGGGGGAGGGGCGAGGCAGUCGCAACGGUUUCAGAGGGACGCGCAUUGCAAGUAACUUUUUUUUUAUAGCCGGAGCGACUGUGUUUAGUGCUUGGUGGCCUCGGAGUGACAGCGGAUACCUGUAGGCUCGCUCGCCUUGGCGCUUUCAACCGCCCGCUCUCUACCUCACUCUCCCUUUCAAGGGUUUUCAGCUUCGCUCCUAUUCCCUUAACAGGACAGCUUCAUAACGAUGUCGGGUGGUGCGCCUCUCCCGCCUUCGCAGAUGCCACUGCAGAAGGUGCAUGAGGUUCAGUUUGAGGUGUUCAAGGAGGCGCAGAUCAAGGCCUAUGCCAAGUGCAUCAUCGAGCAUGCCAAGUCCUACGAGCACGGUCAGCCGGUGCGGGGCGGCAUCAACGACCUGCGCAUGGGCACGACAGACUUCGAGUACAGCUGCGAGACCUGCGGGCUGAAGCACCCGGAAUGCCCCGGCCACUUUGGCUACGUGGAGCUGGCCGAGCCGAUCUUCAACAUCAACGUGUUUGACGUCGUGCUGAUCGCGCUUAAGUGCGUCUGCAAGUACUGCGGCGCGCUGCUGAUGGACACAAAUGACCCGUCAGAGAUGAAGAAGAUCGCGCAUCUGCAGGGCCUCAACCGCCUGCGCAUGGUCGCCAAGCUCUGCGGCAGCGUGUGCAAGCGGAGCAAGGACAUCCAGGGCUGUGAGGGCAAGGGCCGCCAGCCGCGCAUCGGCCGCUUCGCUGGCAUCUACCCAGGUCUGCAGAUCAAGGUUACUCAGGAGGAGCAGGAUUACGUUUGGCACGCCGAGAACGCGCGGCAGGUGCUGGACCGCGUCUCGGACAGCGAUGCCCUCAUCAUGGGCUUCGACCCGCGCUUCUGCCACCCACGGGACUUGAUCCUCACGGUGCUGCCGAUUCCCCCGCCGCAAGUCCGCCCCGCCGUCGCCUUCGGCUCGGCCAAGUCGGAUGAUGAGCUCACCCACCAAAUCAUGUCCAUUGUGAAGCGCAACAUUCAACUACGCAAGGACAAGGAGUCCGGCGUCAAAGCCGCCGUGGACCGCUCGCGCGCACUUCUGCAGGAGCACGUUGCCACUUUCUUCAACAAUGCCUCCACCUACUACAAGCCCGCCAAGGUCGGCGACACCAAGAAGCUCAAGUCACUGACGGAGCGGCUGAAGGGGAAGUACGGCCGGCUGCGCGGCAACUUGAUGGGCAAGCGCGUAGACUUUUCGGCCCGCACGGUCAUCACCGGCGACCCAAACAUCGACGUCGAUGAAGUCGGCGUACCGUUCUCCGUCGCCAUGACGCUGACCUUCCCGGAACGGGUGAACGUGAUUAACAAGAAGCGUCUGACGGAGUUUGUGCAGCGCACCACGUACCCUUCGGCCAACUACAUCAUCCGACCGAACGGCAACGUAACGAAGCUGGCUCUCGUGAAGGAUCGCAACGCCGUCCACCUCGACGUUGGCGACGUGGUCGAGCGCCACGUCAUCGACGGCGACGUUGUGCUCUUCAACAGGCAGCCGACGCUGCACCGCAUGAGUAUGAUGGGGCACCGCGUCCGCGUGCUGAACUACAACACCUUUCGCCUGAACCUGUCCUGCACGACGCCGUACAACGCCGAUUUCGACGGCGAUGAGAUGAACCUGCAUGUUCCGCAGUCGCUGCUCACUAAGGCGGAGCUGAUUGAGAUGAUGAUGGUACCCAAGAACUUCGUGUCGCCGAACAAGUCGGCGCCCUGCAUGGGCAUCGUGCAAGACAGCCUGCUCGGCAGCUACCGCCUUACCGACAAGGACACCUUUGUCGACAAGUACUUUAUUCAGAGCGUCGCGCUCUGGCUGGAUCUGUGGGAGUUGCCGAUCCCGGCCAUCCUGAAGCCGCGUCCACUCUGGACCGGAAAGCAGAUCUUCUCGCUUAUCCUGCCGGAGGUCAACCAUCCCGCCUCUCCGUACGACAAGCCGCCCUUCCCGCACAACGACAAGAAGAUCAUGAUCCAGCGUGGCCAGCUGCUGGUGGGCGCCAUCACGAAGGGCGUCGUCGGCGCCGCCCCGGGGUCGCUUAUCCACGUCAUCUUCAACGAGCGCGGCUCCGAUGAGGUGGCCAAGUUCAUCAACGGCGUGCAGCGGAUCACGACGUACUUCAACUACUGCUUUGCCUUCUCGGUCGGCGUGCAGGACACCGUGGCCGAUGCGACGACGCUCAAGGAGAUGAAUAACGUGCUGCACAAGACGCGCCAAUCCGUCGAGAAAAUCGGCGCCGCUGCGAACAACGGCAAGCUGACGCGCAAGGCUGGCAUGUCGCUGCUUCAGUCCUUCGAGGCAGAUGUGAACAGUGCCCUAAACAAGUGCCGUGAGGAGGCGGCGAAGAAGGCGCUGAGUAAUGUCCGCCGCACAAACAGCUUCAAGGUCAUGAUCGAGGCCGGAAGCAAGGGCAGUGACCUGAACAUUUGCCAGAUCGCCGUAUUCGUCGGGCAGCAAAACGUCGCCGGCAGCCGCAUCCCCUUCGGCUUCCGUCGCCGCACGCUGCCGCACUUCAUGUUGGACGACUACGGUGAGACGUCUCGUGGCAUGGCGACGCGCGGGUACGUGGAAGGGCUGCAGCCGCACGAGUUUUACUUCCACACCAUGGCAGGGCGCGAAGGGCUCAUCGACACAGCCGUCAAGACGUCCGACACCGGAUACCUGCAGCGAAAGCUCGUGAAGGCGCUGGAGGACGUGCACGCCUCCUACGACGGCACGGUACGGAACGCGAACCAGGAGCUCAUCCAGUUGGCGUACGGCGAAGACGGGCUGGACGGUGCUCGCAUUGAGGGCAACCAAGCCUUCCCGAUCCCGCACAUGACGAACAGUGAGAUGGCUGACAAGUACCGCUACGAGUACAACGACGAGGGCAGCUUCUCGGAGAACAUGGGCGGCCAUUACAUGGAUCCGUUUGUGCGCGACUCGCUGCUGCGCGACCCGCAGAGCGUGCUGAAGCUGCAGGAGGAGUUCGAGCAGCUGAUGAAGGAUCGCGCGAUGUCGCGGCUCGUUAUUGACAUGGAGGACAAGAACAAGCUCAAGAUGAACCUGCCCGUGAACGUCGCGCGGCUCAUUCAGAACGCGCGCACGACGAUGGGUAAGCGCAGCCAGGUAUCCAACCUGAACCCGAUCACUGUGAUCAACCGCGUGCGGGAGCUGCAGGAGGACCUCGCGCAGCUGUUCCCGUCCUACCACAAGGACUACAACGGCCGCUUCGCUAAUGUGCUGAGCCAGCAGCGCGUGGAGCGGGCCCUCACGCUCUUUGGCAUCCACUUGCGCCAGAUUCUCGGCUCGAAACGGGUGCUGAAGGAGUACAAGUUGAAUGACAAGGCGUUUGAGUACCUGCUGAAGGAGAUCCGCACCAAGUACCAGCAGUCCCUCAUCACCCCUGGUGAGAUUAUCGGCGCCAUUGCCGCGCAGUCGUGCGGUGAGCCCGCGACCCAGAUGACCCUGAAUACCUUCCACAACGCCGGCAUUUCGUCCAAGAACGUGACCCUCGGCGUGCCGCGGCUGCUGGAGCUGCUGAAUGUGAGCAAGAACCAGCGCAAUGCCAGCGUGGCCGUCUGCCUGAUCCGCGAGUAUCAGAAGCGCAACAAGGCGCAGGAGGCGCAGCAGUUUAUCGAGUACUGCACGCUGGCGAAUAUAACGACAACGGUGCAGAUCAUAUACGACCCCGACCCGCGCAACACCGUCGUGGCCGAGGACGAGGAGAUGAUCCGGUGGGAGCAGGCGGUGAUGAAUGAAGAGGACGAGGAGCCGGACGCAGAGCAGCCGCCGUCGCCUUUCAUUGCACGCCUCAUCCUGGACAACGACCUCUUCAACGACAAGCGGCUUAACAUGAAAGAUGUGAAGAGCGCGAUCCGGCAGGUAGACGACACCUACAUGGUGCAGGCAAACAUGGAGAACGACGGCCAGCGCAUUGUGCGGCUGCGUCCGCGCAAGUGCACCGGGGCGGACUCCGUGCCGGCGCUCACGAAGGCGGUCGCGCAGCUGCUGCAGAGCGUGCACCUACGCGGUAUCCCUGGCAUCAAGAAGACGCUGCUGAAGGAGGGCAACACGUUCCGCGUCGACCCCGAGACGGGCGGCAUCAAGAACGAAUCGAGCUGGAUGGUGGACACAGAGGGCACGGCGCUGCAGCGCAUCUUCGUCGGCGUCGUGAACAACGAGGGCAAGAACAUCAUCGACUUCUCCAAGACCAGUAGCAACAAGAUCCCUGAGGUGGUGACGGUGCUGGGCAUCGAGGCGGCGCGGCGCAAGCUGCUCUCCGAGCUGCGCGAGGCUUAUCUCGCCUACGGGCUAAACAUCAACUACCGCCACUACACCAUCCUUGUCGAUACCAUGUGCCAGCGCGGUUACCUGAUGGCCGUCAGCCGCACUGGCAUCAACCGCAGCGAGACAUCCGGGCCGUUGAUGCGGUGCUCCUUCGAGGAAACGGUGAAGGUGCUCAUGACAGCGGCCGCGUUUGGCGAGAAGGAUCCGGUGCGUGGGGUAUCUGCGAGCCUCGUACUCGGCAAUCAGGCCCGCAUCGGCACCGGCCUGUUUGACCUUCUGCUGGACAUGAGCAAGCUGCAGCACGUGGUCCCGCUCGAUAAGGCUACGGAGGCACGAACCUCAAACGUGUACCACACCGACGCAUCCGUCGCACCGGGCUCCUCGACGCUGCAGGGGUCGCACGGCGAGCUGCCGCCGUCGACUGUGCACGAGAACAGCUCCCUUGCCGCCGGUGCCUCCUCCGUGUACCCGCGACAUGAGAGAGCUGGCAUGUACGGCGGCAUCCCGAUCGAGGCGAGCGAGGUGCAGUUCAGCAGUGCUCUGCCGACGGUGAUGGGAACGGUCUUGGCCGCCUCGAACACGACCGAGUACCACAGCAGCCACCACCUCUCUGGUGCUUCCACGUACUUGGCGUCGUCGGCGCUGCCGAGCGCGAGUGCGCUUGAUACCGAGCUGUCCUCCUACCACCUACAGUCAGUCGCCCGCUCUACUGCGUACGGCUACGCACCCGUGACGGCCUCUGGAAUGCCUAUGCCCGGCGGUGCUCAGCUAUCCGUCGGCGAGGGCGGCAGCAUGCCAUACCCAUACGAGGCGUCGAACGGCGAGCGAUUCGGCUCUCUCGGCGGCGCGGCCAGCUCACGGGCGAGUGCGCCCUACGACCCCACCCAGCAGCCGUCUCAGGAAUUCUCGCCGACCGAGGAGCAGGAGGAGCCGUGAAGCUGACGAAAAGCGGCAACAGAGAGCAGGAAAGGACGCUUGACCCUCCGCGGCCCCACUGGCGGCGCGUUUCGCGUUUGCGUCAUGUGCAUCCUCGUUCUCUGUUACGUGGGCGUCAUGCGCGUGUUUGCAACAGGUUCUGGUGCACGUGCCUGCCGUGGAUAUGGCGGCGAUCUCUCUCCCGGGCAUUUCCGUUGGCUUGCCGUGGCGUGGCGGCCGAAGGAUGCGUACGUCUGCGCCGCAUACGGUGUUGGCCAAGGUGUGUUUCGCUUCCACAGCACUUCGUCUCCCUCGGUGUGUGAUCGCCUUCGAUUGCAAGCAGAUGAAGGGCAAUGACCGCGGCAUGCCUAACGCGUUGCCGGCAGAGAGAGAGAGAGAUAGAGAUGGCGAAAUGAUUUUGCACGUGUGUGCGUGUGCGCCUGCGCGCAUCUGUCUGUUUGAGUUGCCGAGGCUGAGAAUGGCUGCCCUUUGAUGGAGGAGGUGGCGGUGUGUGUGCGCGCGCGCCCGUGUGUUGAAUUGUGUCUGAAUCCCUUUUUAAUGCAAG